GAUGAACGCUGGCGGCGUGCCUAAUACAUGCAAGUCGAGCGAACAGACGAGGAGCUUGCUCCUCUGACGUUAGCGGCGGACGGGUGAGUAACACGUGGAUAACCUACCUAUAAGACUGGGAUAACUUCGGGAAACCGGAGCUAAUACCGGAUAAUAUAUUGAACCGCAUGGUUCAAUAGUGAAAGACGGUUUUGCUGUCACUUAUAGAUGGAUCCGCGCUGCAUUAGCUAGUUGGUAAGGUAACGGCUUACCAAGGCAACGAUGCGUAGCCGACCUGAGAGGGUGAUCGGCCACACUGGAACUGAGCCACGGUCCAGACUCCUACGGGAGGCAGCAGUAGGGAAUCUUCCGCAAUGGGCGAAAGCUUGACGGAGCAACGCCGCGUGAGUGAUGAAGGUCUUCGGAUCGUAAAACUCUGUUAUUAGGGAAGAACAAAUGUGUAAGUAACUAUGCACGUCUUGACGGUACCUAAUCAGAAAGCCACGGCUAACUACGUG
rnacentral:rRNA from 1 species